rnacentral:rRNA from 1 species
AGUGAACGCUGGCGGUAGGCCUAACACAUGCAAGUCGAACGGCAGCACAGUAAGAGCUUGCUCUUACGGGUGGCGAGUGGCGGACGGGUGAGGAAUACAUCGGAAUCUACUUUUUCGUGGGUGAUAACGUAGGGAAACUUACGCUAAUACCGCAUACGACCUACGGGUGAAAGCAGGGGAUCUUCGGACCUUGCGCGAUUGAACGAGCCGAUGUCGGAUUAGCUAGUUGGCGGGGUAAAGGCCCACCAAGGCGACGAUCCGUAGCUGGUCUGAGAGGAUGAUCAGCCACACUGGAACUGAGACACGGUCCAGACUCCUACGGGAGGCAGCAGUGGGGAAUAUUGGACAAUGGGCGCAAGCCUGAUCCAGCCAUACCGCGUGGGUGAAGAAGGCCUUCGGGUUGUAAAGCCCUGUUGUUGGGAAAGAAAAGCAGCAGGUUAAUACCCCGCUGUUCUGACGGUACCCAAAGAAGAAGCACCGGCUAACUUCGUG